CCUGCUCUGCUGCCCCGUGGCCUGAGCUCAGCUUUGUGUGUGUGUGUGGGGGGGUCUCUGCUCUGCUGCCCCGUGGCCUGAGCUCAGCUGUGUGUGUGUGUGGGGGGGGUCUCUGCUCUGCUGCCCCGGGGCCUGAGCUCAGCUGUGGGGAGGGGUCUCUGCUCUGCAUGCUUGCCAACCCCAGCACUGGGGGAGCUUCAGCGCCAUGGUGACAUUCCUUCCUACCUUCCCGCCC